UUUAAAAGGUGGAUUUUCCUCCUAUGAUUAUGCAUUGGCUGGUUAAUCAUACGGGAAAAUCCACGUUUUCAG
rfam:Cavia porcellus supercont2_111 genomic scaffold, whole genome shotgun sequence.